GAUGAACGCUAGCGGGAGGCCUAACACAUGCAAGCCGAGCGGGAUUUGUUGGUUAGCUUGCUAACUAACAAUGAGAGCGGCGUACGGGUGCGUAGCACGUGUGCAACCUGCCUUUAUCUGGGGGAUAGCCUUUCGAAAGGAAGAUUAAUACCCCAUAACAUAUUGAUUGGCAUCAGUUAAUAUUGAAAGCUCCGGCGGAUAGAGAUGGGCACGCGUAAGAUUAGCUAGUUGGUGAGGUAACGGCUCACCAAGGCUGCGAUCUUUAGGGGGCCUGAGAGGGGGAUCCCCCACACUGGUACUGAGACACGGACCAGACUCCUACGGGAGGCAGCAGUGAGGAAUAUUGGACAAUGGGUGAGAGCCUGAUCCAGCCAUCCCGCGUGAAGGACUAAGGACCUAUGGUUUGUAAACUUCUUUUAGACAGGGAUAAACCUACUCUCGUGAGGGUAGCUGAAGGUACUGUAUGAAUAAGCACCGGCUAACUCCGUG
rnacentral:rRNA from 1 species